rnacentral:rRNA from 1 species
UUUUUUUGGAACAUUAGAGGCCUAAAUGGGUCCAUCAAAUAUAACAAGUUGAAAGAGCUCAUUAGAGCCCACAAACCUGAUUUUAUUAGUAUUUCAGAAUCUAAGAAAGAAGACUUCACCCCUUUACAGUUGGAAGUCUUUGACCCAAAUUCCUGCUUUAGUUGGAAAUGGCUCCCUGCCAAUAACACUGCUGGGGGCAUUUUGAUAGGGAUUAGGGGAGAUUUAUUUGAUAUUGUUUGCUGUGACAUACACACUUACAGUAUCUCUUGUUUGCUUAGAAACAAACAAGAUAGCUCUACUUGGAGACUGAUCUCUAUUUAUGGCACUGCGUAUGAUCAAUAUAAGUUGGACUUUAUUAAUGAGUUACACAACUUGCUUACUGGCCGGGCAGGACCAACUCUAGUAGGAGGUGAUUUCAACCUAAUUAGAGAGGCCUGUGAGAAAAAUGCUGGUAUAAUUAAUCAACACUGGGCAAACCUGUUUAAUACCAGGAUCAACAAAUUUGGUCUGCUUGAGUUGGAGAUUAAUGGCAGAAAAUACACCUGGGGCAAUAACCAGGAUAACUUGGUUAUGGCCACUAUUGACAGGGAGUUUAUGUCCACUAGUUGGGUGCUACCUCUUGAGCACUGUGUUGGUUUUCCCUUGAAGAGGAAAGGGUGA